rnacentral:rRNA from 1 species
UCAGGAUGAACGCUGGCGGCGUGCUUAACACAUGCAAGUCGAACGGAGAACUUUCGCUGAUGCGAGUUUACUCAAAGUCUUGAGAGUUCUUAGUGGCGGACGGGUGAGUAACGCGUGGGUAACCUGCCGUAUGCAGGGGGACAACAGUUGGAAACGACUGCUAAUACCGCAUAAGCGCACAGUGCUGCAUGGCACGGUGUGAAAAGAUUUAUCGGCAUACGAUGGACCCGCGUCUGAUUAGCUAGUUGGUGAGGUAACGGGCCCACCAAGGCGACGAUCAGUAGCCGGCCUGAGAGGGUGAACGGCCACAUUGGGACUGAGACACGGCCCAAACUCCUACGGGAGGCAGCAGUGGGGAAUAUUGGACAAUGGGGGCAACCCUGAUCCAGCGACGCCGCGUGAGUGAAGAAGUAUUUCGGUAUGUAAAGCUCUAUCAGCAGGGAAGAAAAUGACGGUACCUGACUAAGAAGCUCCGGCUAAAUACGUG